UCAUAUAGUCCAUGCAGACAUGAUUUUUUUUUUUAGGGCUAUGCCACACAUUUGUAUUCAUCCUCCAACACCUAUCCUUGAUCUGAUCUUUUACAUGUCUUUUUUUAAUCUAAUUUGAUUGAUGAAUUCUCUGUACAUCCAAAGGAAAUCUUUUAGACAACUUUCUCUUCUUCAUUGUAACUGUUAUCUGUGUAUUCAGAAUUUCAUUUCUAAUAGUUUUCCAUAAUUCUUAUUCUUAGUACAUAAGGAUAACAGCAAUUCUUUCUCAGACAUUUUCCCACAAAACUGAAUAUGUAGGUUAAAUUUUCCCCAGUUUUCCCCUUUUUUAAUCACAAAAACUAAUAUAUAAUGUAUAUUUCCCCUCAAGAUUAUCAUCAUUUCCAAUGUAGCAAGAAGUUCUUCUUUGUUGGACACAAUCAUAUGUAGAACAGAAUUUCCUCUUGUUAGUAACUCCAACUGUUCAAGGAGGAAACUAUUAUUAAAGCAAGCUAAGAAAUUAGCAUCCACUCACUUUUUGGGAAGGUUAGAAAGUAGCAUUUAAGCUGAGUAUUGAAAAGAUUCUGGGAGGCAGAAGUGAAGAAGAACAUUCCAGGAAUGGAAAAAUGUGCAAGCAACAGAAAAAGCACUUGCAGGGAGAUAGAAGAAAGAUAGACUGGGAAAAGUCACCUGCAGAAAGUGAAAUUUGAGGAAUAUAAUAAGCAAAGAUGAGGAGAGAACAUUCCAAGGACAAGAAGCAACAUGAGAAAAGGUACUGGGAAGUCCACAAAGCUCCUUGAUCCAAUAUUCUAAGUUCAACUUCAAGCUAUCAUAGAACAUCUUGGGAUUACAUGUUUAGAGUUUAAAAAGGCUUCAGAGAUCAUUCAUUUAAUCCAACACCCUUGUUCCAUAAAUGAAGGAUAUGAAGUCCAGAAAGUUUGAAGGAAUUAACUAAAGUCACAAAGGUAGGUAAAAGAUGGCAAAAUUUGUUUUUGAACCCAUGUUUUUAACUCCAGAUUCAGCACUCAUUCUACUGAAUCAUACUAUCAUUAAUAUUUUAAGUAAAAAGAAAUUUUAAUAGAAACACUAUUUGACUAAAUUAUAAUUCCACUAAUCUCAGAUAAAGUAAAGACUCCAGAAAA